UACGAAGGGGGCUAGCGUUGCUCGGAAUCACUGGGCUUAAAGGGCGCGUAGGCGGGCUCGAUAGUCAGGGGUGAAAUCCUCCAGCUCAACUGGAGAAGUGCCUUUGAUACUGCGAGUCUCGAGGGAGGUAGGGGCGUGCGGAACUUCCGGUGGAGCGGUGAAAUGCGUAGAUAUCGGAAGGAACACCGGUGGCGAAAGCGGCGCGCUGGACCUCUUCUGACGCUGAGGCGCGAAAGCCAGGGGAGCAAACGGG
rnacentral:rRNA from 1 species